UCGUCGCGUCAUAUUAACGGCACCAGCAGCUCUAACAUCUCUUCUAGAACCGCGAACGUCUCUCCGGUUCUCAGAAAGGACCGCGAAAAGGCAUGCUGCCCCGUGCGCGACACGAUACACAACGUUACGCGAGCAAUAUGCGAGCAACUAGGUGAGACUACGUAGGAACGUUCGGUAUCCAGACGCGCGCGAGAGUGGUUUUCACCGCGGUGAACACAGAGACACCGGUCUUCAGACACGGGACACGGAGACGAGAGGACGACACACGUGCGACGCGGCCGAAAGAAAAAGAAUCGAGGCCCGUUCGCUCGGGGUAUGCCGUGCCUCGUGUCCGCUCCAAGCUCAAGCAGGAUUCCCCCCACUUGGGGAGCACGACGGGAACGGCGAGCGAGGGUACGCUCACAACGACGACAGCACUGUGUCUCGAACAGCGUCCAGGCUGGCUGGACAAAACCCAAAAUUCAAAUCGAAGGAAUGACGAUAAUAAUCUUCCUGUGCUCUUAAAUGUUCCUUUGAAGCUUGCCAGUACUGAACAAAAAUAGCGAUGCCUUUGCUCCAGAGACCAAUUAAGAGACAAUACGCUUUAAAUUACAUGUAAUUCAAUUGUUUCGCUAUGUAGAAUUUCUAGCCAACCUCUGGUAGCACUAUAAAUAUUUCUCCAAGAUAGACCACACCGAUAAUUCUAAGUUCGACUCUGUACUUGCCGGCCACAGAAACAUGAAUUUGUCUUCUGAAUUUGAAAAGACUGAAACGGUUUGUCCAGUUAGUCUUUAUCUCAGAGAACACCGUGGAAAGGUUUGGGCCAAGAGCUCACCUCAGCUCGGCUGGCUGUCUGUGUGUCGUAGCCGUUCUUGGCUACGCGGUGAAAGUCGCCGGCCUAUUUGUUUCGUUACCGCGAACGCACGUCGCCUCUGCCCUCUCCCCGCUGUUCACAGGCUCGCGUGUACCUCGAGGUCCCCAUCGGGCCCCCUCUUACACCGUUCCACGGUAGGACGAUGUACAUCGCGACGCACCGACCGGCGACGUCACCGCGGGCGCAGGCCUAGUUUUCGAGUCCGCGGCACCGAUUACCCAAGGCAAAACCUCUCUCGGUUCUCCGACCCGCGCGGGUUUCAAGGUCGACGCCGGACGUUGCCGACUCGUACACCUCGGCCGAACAUCCUGGUGAUCCGGUUGAUGAAUCGGUACCGGUGACGCUCUCGCGUGCUACCGCGACGCCUCGACCUGCGGAAGACCGCUUCGGAGAACGUUCAGCUGAUCCUCGACACGGAUUGGAAUGGAAGCAGUGACCUUGAUCAGGGAGAUUGGUUUAUGUGGUGGAAGCGCGCAGUUCGGAUAGGAUGUUUUGUCGGUUGGGUACCUGGGUGCAGUGUAGUGGAGAGUGACACGGUGAUUCUUGAGUCGUUCAAUGGAAACUGGGUGACUCAUGGUGUCCUUAAAAAGUUAAUUUGCUCGGACGUUAGAACCUGGGCGUGUUAUUCGGUCGUUUUGGGAUAGGUCCUAAAAGUACAGAAAAGGAGGAUUAGACAGGAGUUUCUGAGAAAAAUAGAUUGUCGGAGAUUGUAGAUGAUUGAUUGCGACCUCCGGUUAACCCUGGGCUAGUUUGGGUGGAGACGCCACGACUCACGCUUGCCUUUUCAAAACUGUGAUUACCUAGAGAGAUGCAACAAUAUCCUUAUUAGAAAUUCAGAUCCUAAAUGGUCCCCAGCGUCGCUAUCCAAGAGGUAAAAGCACGACAGGUUCAUAACAUGACUGUUGUCCUCUUCGACCGCUAAUGUCAGAACCAGUUUCCUAUAAGAAAAAAUUUGGCGUGUUGCGAUGCCCGACAAAGGAAUUUGAAAAAUUUGGCAGGGUCCGUGAACGGGACGUUGGGCAGAGACAUUCUCCGUAAAGGCGUGCAUCGUGAGUCAACGUCGUUAGAGGAAGAGAGACGGCGAAGGAGAGACAGACCGUGGCUUCCAGGCGAUUUUUAUCGCCCUUGGCACGAAUCGGCAAAGGCGAUUGCAUUUCGAGAAGGAGAUCACAGGCGCGUAUUCCUUAUUAAAGGUAUAUUUCGCGUCUCUCUGCUCGGUCGCUCUCCAUCGACGUCUUCUUCGAUUCGUGUCGCAAACUAUGCGCAUUCACUAUACAUUCCAUCUGAAAUCAAGAGUGUCCGCAUUAUUGUAUAAUUAAAAUAAAGGAACAGAAUGUUAAAACAAA